ensembl:lncRNA
CACUUUGGCCUGGGCCAGCGAUCAUGGCUUUGGCGUUUGUCUUCUCGUUGUUGGCGCAGAGAGUGCCAUGUGUUGGUGAUUAUUUGGAUGAGGAAACCCUCAACCGCAUGCAGCAGCGUGAGGAGUAUCUGCAAGAGCAGAUGACAAAGCUGCUGCUGGAGAUAGAAGAGAUGGAAAGGGCGCAGGGCAGGAUGGGCUUGCAAGCCCUGCUCUUUGCUUUGUUGCCAUACUGGAAAACUGUGAGCGUUCUUUGUCUCUUCGUCUUUCUGUUUUGGUUCAUGUGGAAGAUCCACAAGAAGUUCCGGGGCGUUGAAGACGACAGUGAUGUGGAGAGCUCCAGCAGUGAGGAGCAGCAGCAGGAGCAGCAGGAGCUGGAGCAGCAGGAGCAACAGAUGCAGGUGGUGGAAGUGGAAGCGAAGGAUGAAUUUGUCUUUGCUGAAGAGUUCUGGCCAAUCCAUACCCAUCAAGAGGAUGGUGAACAGAUCCUCUCGCUGUUGCAUCACCUCAUUGAUAUCUGCCAACAUAUCGUGGCGGAUACUUUCUAUCCAGUGCCAGCACACACCACUGGGGUGGGCAGUGUCUAUGAAGGCUGGUGUCCCCUUGUAAAUGAGCCUGUCUUCUGCGUGGUUGUGUCCCUGUUGGCCCCCCGUGGGCACACUUUCCACCCGGAUCUGGGCGCCCCAGAGGAGCUGCCAGCGAGGAACUCCCGUGUCCGUGUAGAGCUGGAAUGCACGUGCGGGAGGGAGCAGGAGAUGCGCAUGCGAUGCUUCCUCCACGCCUCCGCGGCAGAGCUGAGAAAUCAGCAGUCCAACCUCCUGCACAGCCUCUGCACUGACUCCUACCUGGAUGUAGAGAAGACUGCUCACUGGUUCCAGAAGCCUGAUCAGAAAUGCCUGGAAAUGCACGCAUUUGUCAGCAAUGUGCAGCCUGAAUGUGACGCAGUCCAAGCGCUCCUGCAGGCUUCAGGUGACAGAUGUCUACAAGAAAAUCUUCUUAGUUGAGAUGCUGUUUGGCGUACAGCAAGAUGACACGGACAUCUUUCUGAGCAGCCAGGAGACAGAGGUCGGUACUACUCCCAGCACGACCUGGCCACAGAGCUGUGCUGUGGCAGAAGCGAAGUUCUUCCUACUUGUAGCCGCCCGUGCUGAGGAGAGGAAUUUCUACAUCAGAUAUAUGCAAGUGUGCGCCUAUAUCCUGGCGGGCCUCAACUUUUCAGUCUAUGAACUGAAGACAGUGCUCAUGCACCUCCUGACUGCCAUCCCUUUGGAAAGCUGGCAUGGGAGAUAUUUCCUGGAGCGGAUCGAUGACCUCUUGCGCUACCUGCGCUGCUGCGUGGAGGAGAAGCAUCUGGGCCACUUCUUCAUUGGAAAUGAAGACGUGCCUGCGGAGAUUAUCUUGCCGCAGGAUUUCCGAGAGUCCGAACCGCUCAACCUCUUCCAGCACCUGGAGGAUGCGGAAAGACAUGAGCAGGCACUGCAGGAGUUGGAGGAGCUGCAAGAUCGGCUCAUGAGCCUGCUGAUCUAUGGGAAGUGAGAGACAUCCACUUGUCCCACAGACGAGCACCCUGAACACGGAGAAGACACCGCUCCGUAGGCAGUGGGAAUUGCUCCUGGAUGUUUUCUCCACACUGGGGCAGCCGAUGAAGAGGGUGCUGCGUGAACACUUGAAACAGAGACUCUUCAAACCAGCUGGGCAGAGACCACCCAGCCUCUCCAAGAGCAUCUGUUUGCUCCGGGAGCAUUUUCCCCUAGGAAGACCGGCAAUGAAAGACUUGCUUGAAGAACCUGAUCUGAAGAAGUAGAGCACAAUGUACUUUGUGACGUGUGCUUAGAAAGAGCUGAUGCGAAAAAGCAGAAAUACCACCUGUUGAAGUCGCGUAUUUUAGAACUACAGUUGUUGAAUGAUGUGGUUAAUUCUCACUUCUCAAGCUCUAGUAGAAUUAUAUUCAUAUAUUAUCUAUAGUAUCAGAGACUAGAAAGUACGUUGUGAUCUGUUCUGUUCUUUUAAUAAUUUUAAUAAACAUAUUUAUUUU